GACAGAGGGUGCAAACGUUGUUCGGAAUUACUGGGCGUAAAGCGUGUGUAGGCGGUCCACUAAGUCGGGUGUGAAAGCCCCGGGCUCAACCCGGGAAGUGCACUCGAAACUGGCGGGCUAGAGUAUCGGAGAGGUUGGUGGAAUUCUCGGUGUAGAGGUGAAAUUCGUAGAUAUCGAGAGGAACACCGGUGGCGAAGGCGGCCAACUGGACGAAUACUGACGCUGAGACACGAAAGCGUGGGGAGCAAACAGG
rnacentral:rRNA from 1 species